rnacentral:rRNA from 1 species
AUGUUUCCUGUUCAAGGGAAGUUUGACGAGGAGAAAGAGACUGACAGAAUGGUUUUAUCUGGAUGGUCUGCUCCGGUGGAGGAACAAAUUAACAGUAAUGGGGAGAACGAAUCGACAGCUUCUUCAUCCUGUGCGCAUGCCACUGAUGACACUAUUGAGGAUCCAUCGACUAAACCUCGGAUGAAGCGCAAGCUGGGUGAACUAUUGAAAACAAAGGAAAAGUGUGUUGCAUCCAGUAGUGCUUAG